CAGGAUUAGAUACCCUGGUAGUCCACGCCCUAAACGAUGUCAACUAGAUGUUGGAAGGGUUAAACCUUUUAGUGUCGUAGCUAACGCGUGAAGUUGACCGCCUGGGGAGUACGGCCGCAAGGCUAAAACUUAAAGGAAUUGACGGGGACCCGCACAAGCGGUGGAUGAUGUGGAUUAAUUCGAUGCAACGCGAAAAACCUUACCUACCCUUGACAUGUCAGGAAUCCCGGAGAGAUUUGGGAGUGCUCGAAAGAGAACCUGAACACAGGUGCUGCAUGGCUGUCGUCAGCUCGUGUCGUGAGAUGUUGGGUUAAGUCCCGCAACGAGCGCAACCCUUGUCAUUAGUUGCUACGAAAGGGCACUCUAAUGAGACUGCCGGUGACAAACCGGAGGAAGGUGGGGAUGACGUCAGGUCAUCAUGGCCCUUAUGGGUAGGGCUACACACGUCAUACAAUGGCCGGUACAGAGGGCUGCCAACCCGCGAGGGGGAGCCAAUCCCAGAAAACCGGUCGUAGUCCGGAUCGCAGUCUGCAACUCGACUGCGUGAAGUCGGAAUCGCUAGUAAUCGCGGAUCAGCUUGCCGCGGUGAAUACGUUCCCGGGUCUUGUACACACCGCCCGUCACACCAUGGGAGCGGGUUCUGCCAGAAGUAGUUAGCCUAACCGCAAGGAGGGCGAUUACCACGGCAGGGUUCGUGACUGGGGUGAAGUCGUAACAAGGUAGC
rnacentral:rRNA from 1 species